GGAUUAGAUACCCUGGUAGUCCACGCCGUAAACGAUGAGUGCUAGAUAUCGGGAAAUUUAUUUUUCGGUUUCGUAGCUAACGCAUUAAGCACUCCGCCUGGGGAGUACGAUCGCAAGAUUAAAACUCAAAGGAAUUGACGGGGGCUCGCACAAGCGGUGGAGCAUGCGGUUUAAUUCGAUGCUACGCGAAAAACCUUACCAACCCUUGACAUGGUGGUCGCAAGUUCCAGAGAUGGAAUUUUUCAGUUCGGCUGGACCACACACAGGUGUUGCAUGGCUGUCGUCAGCUCGUGCCG
rnacentral:rRNA from 1 species